CCUACGGGAGGCUGCAGUAGGGAAUCUUCCACAAUGGGCGAAAGCCUGAUGGAGCAACGCCGCGUGGGUGAAGAAGUUCUUCGGAUCGUAAACCUCUGUUGUUAGAGAAGAAAGUGCGUGAGAGUAACUGUUCACGUUUCGACGGUAUCUUACCAGAAAGCCACGGCUAACUACGUGCCAGCAGCCGCGGUAAUACGUAGGGGGCAAGCGUUAUCCGGAUUUAUUGGGCGUAAAGGGAACGCAGGCGGUCUUAUAAGUCUGAUGUGAAAGCCUUCGGCUUAACCGGAGUAGUGCAUUGGAAACUGGGAGACUGGAGUGCAGAAGAGGAGAGUGGAACUCCAAGUGUAGCGGUGAAAUGCGUAGAUAUAUGGAAGAACACCAGUGGCGAAAGCGGCUCUCUGGUCUGUAACUGACGCUGAGGUUCGAAAGCGUGGGUAGCAAACAGGAUUAGAUACCCUGGUAGGC
rnacentral:rRNA from 1 species